GCCUGGGUGGCUCAGUCGGUUAAGCGUCUGACUUCGGCUCAGGUCAUGAUCUCAUGGUCUGUGAGUUCGAGCCCCACGUCGGGCU
rnacentral:tRNA from 1 species